AGCGGCGAGAGAAGCAGAAGCUCCUGGCCUCUCCUUUGUACUGUGUCGCUUUGUCUCUGUUCUGUGAGGAGGCGGAAGCAUGGCGGAGAAGGCCGUGGUGUCGCCGCAUCCUUGUCGGCCGGCGUGGUAGGUGGCGGUUGCUGCGGGGGACGGCGUGUCCUGCUCGGCCGGCCAAUGUAGUGGCAGUUGCUGCGGGGACGCCGCGUACAGCUCGGCCGGCGGAGGCGGGGGCUUUGACGCCGCAGUCGCCGCUAGCGGUGAUGGGGAAUGUUGCGGCUAGUGUGCUUCUCCGUCCAACGGGUAGGAGGUCUGCGAAUCGCGACCACACCAGGCGCCAUGGCCGGCGAGAUGGGUAGUAUUCUGUCCUCCUCUUUUUUUCCAUCCUCCUCUUUCAUAUGUGUUCUAUGUAGUCAACGAUAACUCGCAGGAUUUGUUCUUUGUUUUACAGCCGCGGCAGAUGUGUGUUUAUUAUUCGUAUGUGGAGAUAGAUGUGCGUUUUGUUGUUCUAGUGCUCGAUUUGUUUAGUCGCUUGGUAGUUUGACAUGCUAUUCUCGAAGCUUUGCUGCCGAUAGUGAUGUUGUUUUGUAAGUGGAGGUAGCUUGCCAGAGUUUGAUUCGUAUGUGCAUGUAGCCAGAUCUAUGGAUGUAGGGAGUCAGAUGUUGGGGGGUUCAAUAUCCUUGUUCAGUAUGGCAUCAUGGUUGAAUAUUGGCAGUCAUCUUGAUGUUGUCUCUGAAGUUUUAUCAGUACCAAUGUCAAGCAUUGGUGUUUGUUGCCGAGUUGAUUGAUUAAGAUUGUGCAGAUUCUGCAUGUUGUCCUUGUAAUGUUUUAUAUUGCCUGAAUCUUAAUUAGUUUAAUUAGUUGAAAAAGAAACAAUGCCCAUAGUGCACAAUGCUCACUAUCUCCUUUCGGUCUGUAACAAUUCAUGAUCAACGGUCUGCAUCUUCUCCGCUGCUGGCGGCAGCACGGAGCACUUGAGAUCGUUGGGCAGCGUCGUCGGCAUGGGUUAUGCCGCUGCAAUCGAGCUAGACCAGUUCCCAUGGAUGCUUUCCCAAACCGUUUGCCUUGAGCACUCUAAGAACUGCAGCUGAUUACUUGGCUGCCUGGUGAGAGGCAAACAUGUAGCACAAAAGUGCAUGCUGGCGGUGGCGAUAUCACCGCGCGUUCAUUCGUGAGCCGGUGGAUGUUGCUCGGUAUGUUUGAUCUGCUGUUAUUGCCUCUUGUUUCGUAGCCCCUGAUCAGAAUGAGUUCAGUUUUAGAAAUUAGUUUCGGUUUCAGUUUGUUAGUGGGUAGGUUGAGUGGUAGGUUCCGGGUUAGGUUGAUUAUAUGGUCAUGAUUUGUUUAUGUAGAAUCUGUGUCUCAUUCCAGGCUAAUUUUCAGUAACAUUCUAUGUUCACUGUCUGCUACUUCUUUCUUUUGUCUCGUUCUCUCUACCGUCAGUCUUUAGUCUCUCUUUAUCAAGUGUCUUUCGUCAGUCGCACAACACCUUACGUAGAUGGGCCUUCAGCAUCCAUUAAUGGGUUAACCUGCAGUAAGAUAUUGAUGUCAGCACUGUAGUUUAUGUCUCAGCUUUAAAAAGAUGUAAAUGUUCUUGAACAUGAGAUUAUACAUAUGAAAGUUUUUUGUUUUAUCGCCAGCAUAUGCAUAUGUGAUGAUGAGUAGGUCAUGUCGAGAUUGCCCCUUAGUAAAGCCAUGUAAGAAUUUUUUUGAUGCACACGUGUUGAGAUGUAUUAUGCAAAUUUAUUCCUCCUUUUUCAAUGAAAUGCGUAAAACAAUUUAAAUAUUUCUGAAUCUUCCCAUCUAUAGUUCUUUCGAAAACAAUACCAGCAAAAACAUUCUUUUCAUUGAAUUCAUUAUCCAUGGUUGUAAUUGUGCUGCCAACAUUGAGUACUUGCAGCAAUACAAAUUUUCAUUAGUACCAUUGUCUUUGGUAUGAUUUGAAUGCAAUAAAUUGGUUUUCUGCCUCGUUGCAGAUGUUAGUAGGUUGUCAGCAAUUGGUUUGAAUGCUGCUACUUCAGGUAUAAUUCUCAAUUCUUAUUGCGUCAAUUGCAGUUGCUCAGUUCUCUCUCAGUUUUAUUUUCUCAGUCUCAGUUAUAAUUCUCGCACUCUCUCAGUGCUCUCUAUCCCUCGGUUCAUAUUUUCUCAGUUUCACAUUUUUAUUUCUUCAGUUUAAUUUGCUCAGUAAGUCAGUUCAUAUCUAGUUAUUUUCUCAGUCGUAAGUUCUUCAGUAUUUGAUUAAGUCAGUAUUUUUGUUUAGUCAUGAGUCUUUAGUUAUGUCUGUUUAUAAGUCUCUACUUUUCAUUCAUAAGUUCUUGAGUCUUCAGUUAUGUCAGUCUCUAUGUUUAGGAAAUAUUUCCUAAUUUGUAUUGCUUCAUUUCAUCUCAUCUUUUCAGUAUCAAGUAUUGUUCUGUUCUUAGUAUUUCUCUAACUUUCGAUUCAUCAUUUGCAGCCCCUCAGUAUAAGGUAUCAGACUUUAGAUUCUUAUUAUCCCUCAGUCUCUAAGUUUUACUUUUAUUUAGUCAUAGGUCAUCAGUAUUGUCCUAGUAUCAUUCCCUACCAAAAUUUGUCUUCAUCCUUGAGUUUCGUCCGCCUCUAAAUAUUUUCUUAGUGUUAAGUUUCAGUUUUCAUUCCGAAUAUGCAGAUGUUCCAUUUGUGUGGUUCGUCCGACAUCCUUUACCAGCAGAAAGAGAGUGUUCUUUCGUCAGUAAUGUGCUUCUUUUAUAUUUCUCUCAAUCUUGUAUUUUCUUCAGAUCCUUGUUUCUUGCAUCCCUCACUUUCUCUUUGUCGAGUAUCUUCAAAAGAGUUACUAUUUGUUCUUUAGUAUCUCAUUUCUUUUAAUGUUUCAGUCCUCUGUUUAUUUUGUCCUCUAAGGUGUUGAUUGGCUAACCUCCACUUCUCUCCCCCCCCCCCCCCCCCCACGUUACUUCCUCCACUGAGAACAGAUGCCGUGUCACACCUUUCUUCAUUGUAUUUCCUUUUUCUGCAGCUUUUCAGUUUGUAGUGGGUUAAGAUGUGACAUUUUCUUUAAUCUCUUAGUUUAAAUUCUUUUAGUUUGUCACUUAUUUUAUUUCUAUAGUGUAAAUUCCUGAAGGAACCACUCCAACAUACGGCUUGAGGAGUCCUAAGGGAUCAGUGACCCUACUUGAGUAUUCCUAAGGGAUUUUCCAUGCUAAACCGUACCCAGAUAGUAUUGCUACACAGUCAUAAUGUCUAGCACUAUGCAUACGUCCCAGAAUUAACUAGUUCUUUUCAUCCAGAAGUUUAUUUGCAGUCUCUCACUCACAGUUGUACUCCAGUGAGUCUUUGUCUCUAUCAUUAUAGGUCCCUUUGUGUCUAUCUGUCCUUUAUUGGUAUAGGCCCCUUCUGUCUAUCUAUCCUGUAUUUGCAGUCUCUCAGUUUUCAGUGUAGUUGCUUAAGCGAUUUAUUCGUUUCCACCUGCAGGUUUAUUACACAAUUACGCAUGUGAUCUGUUGUCUCAUUUCUUCAAAGAAGAGAAUUUCUCAGUAAUUUGAGUGUUUUUCUGAUACAGGAAAGUUGAGCUUAAAGAAGAGUGCAUCAAAAUUAGUUUCUAAUAAAGAUGUGCAUCUUGUGCCCUAGAACGAAAAAAUCUUCAAAAAAUGAAGGUAGCUAUGAGGAUCUAUGUAAGGGAGUUCAGGGAUCGUACCUUAGCAUCUCCUAUUGGAAAGAGGAGCAGGGACUGCCUGGAAGUAAUGGUUGAAAGAAGUGGUUGGAGCACAUGAACUGUUUUGCUUGCUAUAGAAGAGGGUCGAACAGGUACAAGAUGCACGUGAGAUUUUCACUGCUUGUGGGCUUUCCUCUGUAAUGGUUUUUUUAGAACUUAGCACCGACUCGACUCAGAAAUCCAUGGGACUCAAACACAGGCCCUGUAGCAAAAAUGUGUCUGUUUUGCUUGACUGAAACAGACAGUUUUUUGAUUGACUGAGUUCUUUUCUCUGUUGUACAGUUGUCAUCA